GGGGAAUAUUGGACAAUGGGCGCAAGCCUGAUCCAGCCAUGCCGCGUGGGUGAAGAAGGCCUUCGGGUUGUAAAGCCCUUUGGUUGGGAAGGAAAGGAAGCCGGCCAAUACCGGUUGGUCCUGACGUUACCCAAAGAUAAAGACCCGGCAAACUCGGUCCCAGCAGCCGCGGUAAUACGAAGGGUGCAAGCGUUACUCGGAAUUACUGGGCGUAAAGCGUGCGUAGGUGGUGGUUUAAGUCCGUUGUGAAAGCCCUGGGCUCAACCUGGGAACUGCAGUGGAUACUGGAUCACUAGAGUGUGGCAGAGGGUAGUGGAAUUCCCGGUGUAGCAGUGAAAUGCGUAGAGAUCGGGAGGAACAUCAGUGGCGAAGGCGACUGCCUGGGCCAACACUGACACUGAGGCACGAAAGCGUGGGGAGCAAACA
rnacentral:rRNA from 1 species